AUUGUUAUUUCCACUAUAGAGAGACGUUACGGUCUAAGCAGUUCCCUGACUGGAUUAAUUGCUGCAAGUUAUGAUAUAACAUUUUGCCUUUUCUCGCUUUUUGUGUCUUUUUAUGGAGAAAGAGGGCAUAAACCAAGAUGGCUUGCAUUUUCAGCAUUCAUGAUUGGACUAGGAGCACUCAUAUUUUCUUCGCCUCACUUCUGCAUUGGAGCAUAUGAAUAUGGAAACAAAUUUAAUGGUGAUAUUUUCUUUAAAGUGUUGCUCCAACCCUUCUUUUCCAUUUAGUGUUUAGUGGGCCGGGUUCUCCAUGAUCGUGGCCAAUCUUCCCCAUAAUUUCAUAGUGCCAUUCUCGUCCUGGCUGUGGUCCCAUAUGUGUCUCAAGUAUAAGUAGUGUUAGACCACUGAACUCUACAUCACACAUUUGUGCAGUGUCCGUGUUCACAAGCAGCAAGCUGAGCUCAUCUUGCAAAAGUGGAAGGAAAGAGGACUGUACGGAGAGUAAUGUGGGGUGCAAAGGAGGAGAAUAAUCAAGGAAAUAGCAUGUAGGGGGAGGUGAGGAACGAAUGGAUGGGAAUCGGCGUAUCAUGUUGGGAGGCAGGUAAAGACAGAGGGAGGCACACAAAUCCAGGCUCUCAAAGGUUCGAAAAUGUUGUUAGUUAACUUUGUAAAGUCUGAAUUGGUUAUUAUUCCCUUAGUUUCCAUGGCCUACAUCAUUACUGGAAAGGAAUGCAUUGUAAUUGUAAAUCACAAAACUAAAUAACCUGUUACUGAUCUGAUAUCAUCUGGAACAAUAAGCGGAGAGAUUUGGCAGAACGGUUUUACCCUGUUCUUGAAUAUGCUUUGAAAGGUUAUACUACUAGAUUUGGACUUUGUUUACUACAAUAAAAAGGAAAAUAUCUCAUAUUGUUCUCAGUUGUUUCAGACUAUUAACCUCAGUUUGGUUCUUCACUAUUGUCUGGUAAUCCAUUAUGAUAGUUCAAACUAAAAGUGUUAGGUAGAGUAGAACAAACAAAGAAAGCACAAUGUUGUGUAUUAUUUUCAAUGAAUAGAGCCGAUACUCAUAGCUGAGCCAGUAUAAAUUGAAUUCCUUUAAAAACCUCCUUCUACAUUUUGAUUUUAAUCUGGUUACCUUACUAUUCCAGCUACUAUUCACUCUCCAUAUUCCUCUCAUUUAGGGAGUAAGCCAAUGUGGUAUGCAGAGUAGAAUAAAAACAUAGAGUAACAUUGCAUUUGUGCUUUGUACCAAGGGUAUAGAAAUAUAUUCCUUGUACGUGCAUAGCCAUAUACAGAAAUUUCCUUACACAGACUUCAUGUAUGUUCUUUGGAUAUCUAGUCCUUGUUCCAACUUCCACUUAUUUAGGUUCAUUCAUUAAACCAAGAAUUACUGCAGAACUGACCAAUGACAUUUACAAUUUAGGAAAAAUAAUUGGCCAAACUGAAAAUUCUUUCCAACUUUGUCAGAAAAGUCAAAAUGACCCCCAUAUUUAGUAGACAUGCCACCUCUCACCAUGCUGCGGGUGGAGCAUGUAUCCUAAACUGUGUCACAAUAAUGAAAAACAAGUCUUUAAUGAAAUACAUGGGGGACUUGGCACAUGUCCUUCCUAUGCCACCGACCUUGGGCAUCAGAUAGCAGCUGAAUCUUAAUUGAUAGCGGGUGGAGAGAUCACUAUCCACCCCCACCCUCACCAAUUGCAAGAUUGUAUGGGCAAUUAAAGAAACAAAACAGAAGGGAGAUCCAUAUCCUCCAAAGCCCCCACCCAUGAGCAGCAGAUGGGGGUCUACUAAAAAAAUAGUUAAAAGUUACAGUAAGGUAGGGAUAAUAGGUAGAGAUACAGAGACAGACAGAUAGUGACAUUUGCACCUUUAUAACAUUUACAAUUGAACAAUGGUUUUAUCUUGCAGAAUCCUGUGAAAUCUUGGGAACCAACAGCACUCAUGCAGAUUGUACAAAUGACAACCAAUCUUCACUCUCGAAUUUCCUUUAUGUCUUCAUUCUGGGUCAGCUGCUUAUGGGAGUUGGAGGAACUCCUUUGUAUACUCUUGGAACAGCGUUUUUUGAUGACAGCCUCCCCACGCACAAAUCCU